GGAAGCGUGGCCGAGUGGUUUAUGGCGCUGGUCUUGAAAACCAGAAAUGGAUUUCCAUUCGUGAGUUCGAAUCUCACCGCUUCCGCCA
rnacentral:tRNA from 1 species